GAGAAGACUGCUUAGAAUUCCUUCGACUGCAAGACAAACCAAUAAAUCAGUGUUGGAUGAAGUUCAGCCAUGCUGCUCCCUAGAAGCCAUGAUCACCAAACAGCAGCUUUCAUAUUUUGGACAUGUGAUGCGUGCAGAGCAUAGACUGGAAAAGAUGAUUAUGCUUGGAAUGGUCGAGGGAGACAGAAGAAGAGGACGACAACGAACAAGAUGGAUAGAUAGGAUCAAGACAAGUACUAGAAAGACUUUGAGAGAACUAUGCGAUCUAACUAAAAACAGGUCUGAAUGGCGAGCAUUUGUCCAUACUAUCACCAGAAGUCAAACUCGACUUGAUGGCACCUAACAACAACAACAUGUCAAUCAUCUAUAAUCACGUGAUA
rnacentral:lncRNA from 1 species